GCUGAUUCUUCUCAGUGAACUAGAAGGAAAAUGGCUCAAACAAAAAGAAAGAAGAAAAAGCCUUUUGCCAGCUUUUUACAUCAGCUCUUUAGGGAUCAGAUCACAGAAACGGGUUGAAGGUGAGGACAAGAGUGUACAUCCAAGAACAGAGGGAGAGAUGGAAAAGAAAGUAAAGGCAGACUUCUUCAGUAUCAGUUUUGCCUGUCUUGUUUAACUGUACCAUCCUUAACAAUAUAAUUAGAGAUGAGUACAUGUACAUGUAAACAGACAAAGAUUAUUUGUCCUGCAAUGAUGCUGACUAAAGAGAUUUGCAGCCUGUAACUCUGCCAUUUCUCUGGAGGCUUCUACCCCUUUGGAUCUGCAAUCAAGUCUGAAUUCAUAAGAAAUUCCUAACUCUUUUCAGUUGAAAUGAGUCUUACUGUUAAGACCGUAAGCUAAUAAUCUUGCUUUAAAUGGACUAGUGAGAGCUCACGCAAGCAGUUCAAGUGGCAGAUUGGAAGAGGUGAUAGCAUUGGGAAGACAAGCAGAAGGAGAUGACCCUUCUUUAACCUCUGCAUGUGACAUGUCUGCAUCCAAAAGAGAGUGGGCUGAGGACCAUCCUGAGGGCUCACUGACCACCCAUUGAGAGACUGUGUGCAAGACGCCUGAGAGCAAUGAAGAAGCAUCAUGUGCUAUUCUAUUACUUUCUGAAUGACGUGCUUAACUACUGAUGUAGAGGUUAGACCACUGAAGUGACUUAAUUUGGUUAAUGAAAAGGAAGUUUUAGUCCUUGCUUUGCAUAAUCAUAUUUUAUAAUCAAGCCUUCCAAAAUGAGACCAAAAGAGACUCACAUUGUGCAUAUUUAUUACCUAAAGGAAAGGCAUUACAUCGCUAAAAUAUAACUGGUGCAGGUUUUUUAUUUGAUUAAGGGCAGCAGUUUCGAGUGGAUAUACAAAACUAUUUGUUUUUCUCCAAGAACACUUAAAUUUGCACCUAUGCAGCUAUGCUGCUUUUUUUUUUUUCUGAAAUGAAACAAAAACAAACCACAAGAAAACCUAAACCAACUAUCCAAAAAAAUACUCAAAAAAACUCCACACCAAAAACAAACAAGCAAACAAACAAACAAACAAACACUAAUAAAAUACCCCUAUUUUUAGAGUGUCUUUAUUUGCAACUUUCAUUUCCUUCUCCCUACAUAAUUUUCUGUGGCAUAUUUAGCUGAUGAAGAAUAGGCAGCCUUUCAUUUCCUGUGUGAACUUCGCAGUAGCAGGUUGUGUUUGUGUGACCUAAAGACUAAUUUGCCAUUAGGUGGAUGACAUGGGUCAAUGUUUUCUGGUUACUUGGAGCUGAAGGUAUUGCGGAGUACAGCAACGCUUCUUCACUAAACUGUGCUUAAAGUGCUCAGUAGGCCAGUGCUCGGCCUUGAGUAGCUUUUAGUAAGCUAUCUAGUCAACACCUAAGUAUUUUCUUGUAAAUCCAACAUAUUUAGGGAAUUUGGCUGUGUGUAUUAUGGUCUAUUUUUCUAAGUCAUGGAAUUUCAGAUGUCAUCAAAGAGGGUUACUGCCUCUUGAAGGACCCUCCAGCUUUGAAAUUUAGCCUUUGCUUACCAGAACCCAUUCUUAACUUCAAAAACCAGUAGCAAGUGCUCCCUGCCAUUUCUUCCCUUGGUAAUAGAGCUCUCUUUUUGUGCUAUUUUUAUGUGGGAGGGUUGUUUUACUUUUAAUUUGUGAUGAUUUUAAAACUUCAGAUCUAAAUCAGAGUUCAGAACACGCUAACUAAAAUUGUAGAAUGCUUGUUUACUGCAUCUGUAUAUAUAGCAUUGGCUGUCAUGUUCAUCUAUUUAACCUGUGCUAGUUCUCUAACCCUAAUUAGGAAUCUGUAAUUACUAGAAUUUAGGAACGGAUGUCAGUACACUUUAUAUUUUGUUUCUGCUCUCUUUCUGCAAUUAUACUUGAUUCAAAAUGGUCCCCAUUUAACAGUAAAGCUAGAUUUGAACUAGCCAAAUUAAAACAAAACAAGCCUUUGAAAAAGUACUUAAUGGUCUUCUGUUACAUAUUAAAAUUGCAAAAUUCUAAAUAAGACAAGUAGAUGGCUAGACAUAUAUUUUGUAUGCACUUAUUUGUUUUUAAAGGUGAAAAAAGUAUUUUGUAGGAGGUGAUCAGGAGGUAAUUCUUCAUUAAGAAUUUUUUUGCAUCUGUAUUUAUGAGUAUUGCAAAGGAAUGAGAUACACGAAAAGGUUACAGAAAUACUUUCACAUGCAGUUAAAAAUAUAUCUCCUGGACAGAUGUGAGAAAAAUAAUAAAAUAAUUCUCAUGAGGUACUUUAACUCCUCAGUCUGCAGCCUGCAGACUACAGGUCUCUGACUGGAGCCAACUGACAUACAUAAUUCUAGUUGCUGGUACAUGUAUAUUUAAAGACAGUGAAUGAAGUAAGAUGAUACGUAAUGCUUAUGCCCUAGUAGCAUUUCCUACUAGCUAUUUUACAAUCAUUUGACAGGAUAACAACAGGGAUAAAAUCUGUCAUCCAAAGAAAAAGCCUUUCCUUAUCACUGAAAAAAACCCAUACACUUAAUAUUCUAGAAGAGAAGCCAUAUUCUGCCUUGUAUGCUUAUUUUGUGGGCUUUUUGUCUUCUUUUAUAAUUUUUAUGUUAAUGUGUUGGAGAGGUGUGUUUGUGUGGUUGUGUUUGGUCUGAAAUAAUAAUAUCAUGUAGUCAACUGUGAUCUUGAUUUUUUUUUUUUGGCAAAUAGUAGACAUGCCUUCUAUGAAACACAACUAGUGAUGCUUCAGCUUUGGUUUAAAUGUUCAUCUGAGGAAAUAGCAGAGGAUAAGAAAUACAGAGCUGGCUAUGGGAAUCUAAUAUUUUGUCAGUGUAUAUAUUCAGGGUUGAAAGCCAAACAAGAAAUAUGUGAGGAAGUGCAAUAACCUGCUCAAUCUACCUUUAUCUGAACUGUUUUUCACAGAUAUCUGGAUUUGCAAUUCACCUUGUCCUUUAGUCACAAGUAAGCACAAAAAGUAAUGGAAGUUGCUGCUCAAGUACCUGCUUGACUCCAAAUAUUCUAAAAACAACCAUUAUUGUUUUUUCUUACUCUCCUACUGUGGCCUUCUGAUUUGUCAGGUUUUGGAACAGACUGCCCAGGGAAAUGGUUGAGUCACUGUCCUUGGAUGUAUUUAAAAGACAUGUAGACGUGGCGCUUAGGGACAUAGUUUAGUGGUGGACUUGGUAAUGUGGGGUUGACAGUUGGACUUGAUGAUCUUAAGGGUCUUUUCCAACCUAAGUGAUUCUAUGAUUGUUUCUUGAUCAUCUUCCCGAUUAACUCUGCCCAAUUUCUUAUUUCCUUGUCAGAGAGUUUUUGCCUACCUUGGGCUAAUGUUAUAUGAGAUUUCCAAUAUACCUACUUGCCAAGUGAUUGAAUGAGCAUAGUCAUAUCAGAACCCACUGUUCCUUUAUUCUAAACAUUGAAGAUGAGCAGACCUAGAAAAUUUUCAAGCUGUGCAGAAUCGUGAAUUCAGUAGAGGUGACAACUAUGGUAUAAGAUUUCUAAGGAAUAUAUAAGUUGAAAGUAUUAUUUGUGCAUGGAUACUGAAUGCAUUUCAUUGAAAGAACUGGGGAAAUGUAAUAUUUGAAAUGUUGUGCCCUGACUACUCAAAAGUAAUUCUAGUGGCCUAAUUAGAAAAUAACUGUAUUCUAGAAGCUUGACUAAUUUGAAGGUUUGUCAAUUGCUAUAAUGGAAAUGGGAAAUUAGAAAUUUGAUGGAGUGGAAGGUGUUUCAUUCAUGAGACAAUAUUUUUUUGCAAAGAAUGUUCUUACUCUCAGGAAAGGAGAUGUUCUAACGGGAUCUUUGGGAUGCUGGGCUGUUCUGAGGCUAAUCACUUUGAUAAGAUAUUGGCAAGGACAUGAAUUUACACAAGUUGUCAAUCAGACAUAAUGUAAACAUAAACAAAAGAGUAUUUAAGCAGUGUGAAAAAUUAUCCUAAAUACAUUGUUGGACUUAUGACCAUGUCAGAUUUAAAAGAAUAUGCAAGUUAAAUAUUUUAGAUUACAGCAACCCAAGUCUUGAAAAUGCUUCUUGGACCAUUAUCAGACAAGACACUAAUCAACAAGUUACCUUACCCUUCAGGCCAAGAGUUGUUAAGCAGAACAAGGAUAACAAAUUGUUGAUAAAGUUUUCUUUUGUAAGGAUGUGCCUUCAGGUCUAGCAAUAAAGCAAAGCAACUUUUCACUUCUGAUUUUUGCCUGAAUAAAACUUCGACUUCCUGGAAUAUUUUUAGCUUGAGUGAUCACAAACAACUUUAGGAAAAGUAGCAAAUUCUAAUUAGAGUUUAUCUAAUCUGACAAGCGAACAAUGCUAAAUUGAAUAGGAGAAUAGAGUUUUUGCACAGUUUACUGAGCAAAAUUAAUUGGCUAACCCACAGCAAGACUUCUCUUUCUGUUCAUAGUACUUAUUUCAGCACAUUUUUACUUUCUUUUCUAGCAGAGCUUGUCUGUUUUUUUUGUUGUUAAAUGGGAGAAUUAUUGUUGUGACAUGUCCUUGUGUUAUUUAGGUGUAUGCUGUCUUACUCACCAAGUGAAGCAACAAAUUUGGAGCCAUGGUGCUGUUUAGGUGCUGUUUAGUCUGUGGUUUAACAAAAUAUGAUCUGUUCUGAUAGUUGCUGGAAUAUCACAAGAAGAUAAACAUGUAAAGAAAUGUAUGCUUCUGCACGAGACUCUUAAAGGAUUAAUAGUGUCCAUCAUGUUCCUAUUUACCAAUAAAAUUGUUUAUAAAUGG